GCCGGGCACGGUGAUGCGUGCCUGUAGUCCCAGCUACUCGGGAGGCUGAGGUGGGAGGAUCACUUGAGCCCAGGAGUUCUGGGUUGUAGUACGCUAUGCCGAUCGAGUGUCCGCACUAAGUUUGGCAUCAAUAUGGUGACCUCCCAGGAGCGGGGGACCACCAGGUUUCCUAAGGAGGGGUGAACCGGCCCAGGACAGAAACGGAGCAGGUCAAAACUCCCAUGCUGAUCAGUAGUGGGAUCGCGCCUGUGAACAGCCACUGCACUCCAGCCUGGGCAACAUAGUGAAACCCCGUCUCU
rnacentral:SRP_RNA from 1 species